GCUCAGGUCGCUUAGCCUGGUAGAGCGCCGGUCUGCUAAACCGGUGUCCAAUGGAUUCGUGGGUUCGAAAAUAUAUUGCAUUUAGCAUAUUAUUGAAAAUCCCACCCUGAGCG
rnacentral:tRNA from 1 species